GUGGGGAAGAUUAAAAUUGAAUGAAAACAAAGACAACAAAGAAAUAAAAUGUAAAAAAUAAAACAUACACUAAAGUAAUGAACAAUUUAAUGAAAAGAAAUGAUAUAUACACAUAACAGAACCAAAAGAAUGUAAAAUUUCACCAUCUAAGCCAAUGUAUUUAAUCUCUAUUCACAGGAAUACCAAAUUCAAAGAAACAAAAUAAGAAACACUACUUAGAACAGAAACUAGAAUCAAAUUCAUGUGGAUCACUGCAAAGAAUGUGUGAUCAGUUUUCAGGAAGACAUCUUGGAAAGUUAAGCCCAUCACAGGGUUUUAAAGUUCAUUUG
rnacentral:lncRNA from 1 species